UGCGUAGGGGGCAAGCGUUGUCCGGAAUCAUUGGGCGUAAAGCGCGCGUAGGCGGCCUCAUAAGUCCGCUGUAAAAGUCAAAGGCUCAACCUUUGAAUGCCGGUGGAUACUGUGAGGCUAGAGUCCGGAAGAGGCGAGUGGAACUCCUGGUGUAGCGGUGGAAUGCGCAGAUAUCAGGAAGAACACCAACGGCGAAGGCAGCUCGCUGGGACGGUACUGACGCUGAGGCGCGAAAGCGUGGGGAGCAAACAGG
rnacentral:rRNA from 1 species